rnacentral:lncRNA from 1 species
UUAUAGUUAAGGGGUGAGGUUUAUGAUUUAGAGUUUAGGGUAUAGAGUUUAGAGUUUAGGGUUUAGAGUUUACGGUUUAGAGUUUAGGGUUUAGAGUUUAGGGUUUAGGAUUUAGGAUUUAGGGUUUAGGGGUGGGGUUUAGGAUUUAGGGUUUAGGGUUUAGGGUUUAGAGUUUAGAGUUUAGGGUUUAGAGUUUAGAGUUUUGGGUUUAGAGUUUAGGGUUUAGGGUUUAGUAUUUAUGGUUUAUGGUUUAGGGUUUAGAGUUUAGGGUUUAGGAUUUAGGGUUUAGGGUUUAAAGUUUAGGGUUUAGAGUUUAGAGUUUAGAAUUGAGGAGUGGGGUUUUGGGAUAAGAUUUUAAAUUUAAAAAAAUAAAAAAAAAUUAAAUUUUCAAAAGAUAAAAUGUUAUUUUGGUCAUUUUAGUUUUUGAGUGCUAUUUUUGUAACAUAAACUUAGAAAUGUGCUAUUUUGGAGAUUUGCCCAUUAAAAUACCACCUAGAUAAUUAAUAAAAAAUAUUAAAUUUUAU